rnacentral:rRNA from 1 species
UACAGAGGGUGCGAGCGUUGUCCGGAAUCACUGGGCGUAAAGGGCGCGUAGGUGGCGACCCAAGUCGAUGGUGAAAGCUCGCCGCUCAACAGCGAGUCGGCCACUGAUACUGGGUUGCUGGAGCACUGUAGAGGCAGAUGGAAUUCCGGGUGUAGCGGUGGAAUGCGUAGAGAUCCGGAAGAACACCGGUGGCGAAGGCGGUCUGCUGGGCAGUUGCUGACACUGAGGCGCGACAGCGUGGGGAGCAAACAGG